rnacentral:piRNA from 1 species
UGGGCCAAGAAGGCAGGAUCUGUAA